rnacentral:misc_RNA from 1 species
AAGUCGUAACAAGGUUUCCGUAGGUGAACCUGCGGAAGGAUCAUUAACACGUAUCCACGUAUCUACCUCUUGUGAAUUUAUUAUUGUUUUGUAGUUGUUUCAGAUAUGACUAAGGAAGCAGAUGACCAUGUCGUUGGUUGUGAAAACAGCCACGUUCUGCUUGCCUAUCCAACCUAUUUUGCUGAGUGCUAGUGUAUGCUAGCAUAAAAACUCCUUAGGAUGGGUAUCUGAGAGAACUCGAAUCAUGGUGGUUAUUAUCUAUUAACCCCUUUUUUUAUUUUAUUGUCUUAGUGAGUGUUCAUUCUUUUUUUUUUCAUUAAAAAGAGGUUGACCUCCCAAAAAAUUAACACUAUACAACUCUUAGCAACGGAUAUCUCGGUUCU